rnacentral:rRNA from 1 species
CGGUAAUUCCAGCUCCAAUAGCGUAUAUUAAAACUGUUGCGGUUAAAACGCUCGUAGUUGGAUAUUUGCUGGAGAGCAUUGGUCUGCCCCCAGUGGCGAGUACUUGAUGUUCCUUCGACAUCUUACUGGAGAAAGGGUAUGCUCUUCACUGAGCGUGCCCAUGAACCAGAACUUUUACUUUGAGGAAAUGAGAGUGUUUCAAGCAGGCAAUCGCCGUGAAUACGUUAGCAUGGAAUAAUAACAUGGGACUUCGUGUCGUUGUUGUUGGUUAACGACAUGGAGUAACAAAAAUAGGGACAGUUGGGGGCAUUCGUAUUACAAUGUCAGAGGUGAAAUUCUUGGAUUAUUGUACGACGGACUACUGCGAAAGCAUUUGCCAAGGAUGUUUUUUUUAAUCAAGAACGAAAGUUAGGGGAUCGAAGACGAUCAGAUACCGUCGUAGUCCUGACCAUAAACUAUGCCGACUAGAGAUUGGGGGUCGUUAAUUUAUGACUCCUUCAGCACCUUAUGAGAAAUCAAAGUCUUUGGGUUCCGGGGGGAGUAUGGUCGCAAGGCUGAAACUUAAAGGAAUUGACGGAAGGGCACCACCAGGAGUGGAGCCUGCGGCUUAAUUUGACUCAACACGGGGAAACUUACCAGGUCCAGACAUAGGAAGGAUUGACAGAUUGAUAGCUCUUUCUUGAUUCUAUGGGUGGCGGGGCAUGUCCGAUUUUAGUGGGUGGAGUGAUUGGUCAGGUUAAAUACGAUAACGAUCGAGACCUUAACAUACUAAAUAGUUACUCUGAUCUUCUGAUCGGAGGACAACAUAUUAGAGGGACUCCCUGAGUAUAACAACGGGAAGUGCGAGACCAUAUCAGGUAUGUGAUGACAUUAUAUGUUCUGGGCUCCACGCGCGCUACACUGAUGCGUUGCAACGAGUUUUCCUGAGACGAGAGGUUAGUGUAAUCUUAUGAAAUCGCAUCGUGAAGGGGAUAGAUUCUUUCAAAUUUUAAUCCGGAAGCGAGGAAUUGUAUAGUACAGACGUCAACUCAUCAACUUGUGCUGAUUACGUCCCUGCCCACAGUACACACCA